UACGAAGGGGGCUAGCGUUGCUCGGAAUCACUGGGCGUAAAGCGCACGUAGGCGGAUUGUUAAGUCAGGGGUGAAAUCCUGGAGCUCAACUCCAGAACUGCCUUUGAUACUGGCGAUCUUGAGUCCGGGAGAGGUGAGUGGAACUGCGAGUGUAGAGGUGAAAUUCGCAGAUAUCAGGAAGAACACCCGUGGCGAAGGCGGCUCUCUGGGACGGUACUGACGCUGAGACGCGAAAGCGUGGGGAGCGAACAGG
rnacentral:rRNA from 1 species